UACCGACAUUGACAACUAUUUUUCUACCAAAAUCUUUAUAGAUUACUGGCAUAUUCAGAUUGUUUUAAACGCGUUUGAUAGUUUUGUGACGGGAAAUAAUAUUUUAAAUCUACGUUAAAAAUAUAUCAUGAGGAUAAUCAAGGAUAUUCCAUAUAUAUAUAUAUAUAUAAGCCAUUCAGAUGUCGUACAUUAAAUAUACUGUAAAGAUUACACACGUGAAAGUCAUACGAUUUCGAUAGUAUAAAUCUCAAUAGUGAGUCCAACGUAAUAUUAAGCGGAUUUAAGGCGAACUUAGAUGCAUU